rnacentral:tRNA from 1 species
GCGCACUUAGCUCAAAUGGUAAUAGCAUCACUCUUGAAAGUUGAGGUUGUGGGUUUGAUUCCCACAGUGCACA